GACGAACGCUGGCGGCGUGCUUAACACAUGCAAGUCGAACGGAAAGGCCCUGCUUUUGUGGGGGCUCGAGUGGCGAACGGGUGAGUAACACGUGAGUAACCUGCCCUUGACUUUGGGAUAACUUCAGGAAACUGGGGCUAAUACCGGAUAGGAGCUCCUGCUGCCUGGUGGGGGUUGGAAAGUUUCGGCGGUUGGGGAUGGACUCGCGGCUUAUCAGCUUGUUGGUGGGGUAGUGGCUUACCAAGGCUUUGACGGGUAGCCGGCCUGAGAGGGUGACCGGCCACAUGGGGACUGAGAUACGGCCCAGACUCCUACGGGAGGCAGCAGUGGGGAAUAUUGCACAAUGGGCGGAAGCCUGAUGCAGCAACGCCGCGUGCGGGAUGACGGCCUUCGGGUUGUAAACCGCUUUCGCCUGUGACGAAGCGUGAGUGACGGUAAUGGGUAAAGAAGCACCGGCUAACUACGUG
rnacentral:rRNA from 1 species